AGAUCCUAACCGUGGGGUCUAGAUCAACAAUUACUAUUUCUCAUCCAAGCCGUUCAACUGCUACACAUUCCCUGACUCCACUUAGGAAAAGACUUAGAGAUGUAGAGGUAUGCUUGGAGAAAGACAUUAAUUUAAUAACAUUAAUAUUACCACCGUACAAAAAAGUAAAAUCAAAAUGAUAUCCUGGGGACCUAAGCACUGAUGAUUCCACCGUUUCAAAAGCUAAAGUUAGGUCACCAAAUUAUGGAUAAAAAAAUUAAAGAACAAAAGAUUAAAAUUCGAAGAUUGCAACAAACAAAUUUGCGCCAAAGAAAUCGGAUUAGAUGUCUCAAGUCAUUAUUAAAAUACUUAAGAAAUAAUAACAUGAUUUCCGAAAAAGCCCAACA